UUCACUUCCGGGUCGGCAGACUCAAUGCGGAUUGUAACGUGUGGUCGUGCUAAGCUAACUCUUUCGGUGUUUUAGAAAGAAAUUAUGGGUGUGUAUUGUUGUGUUACCGGGUGCAACAGCUUCUCCUACGACUAAAAAAAGGGCGAGGAAAACUGGACUCACUUUUCACCGUUUUCCUGCAUGGAGGACCAAAUAUCAGAUCACGAAGGCACGACUGAUGGCUGGAUUGCAGCGGUUCGUCGGAAAAGCAUUUCUUAUGAUCAUAUUUCUGCUGGAAUGAGAGUAUUCCCCUCAUCUCUACUCUUGAAAACCUGCAUAUGAAAUGCUGACAACACAUCCCGAUUGGUCACCAUAUCUCUUCUUGGGUUAUUCUGAGGUCAAGCGCACCACAUCGGAGCGUUAUGAGAGGUUGGAAAGGCGAAGAGUGCACGCUGAAACUUCUGUUUGCUCUGCUCUUACAAACACGAUCCCAAGUGUUGUUGUGAAAAGUCAAUAAAAUAUGAAUACCAAAA